CGGCCGGGUCCCCUUCUCCUGGGAGCCUGGGCGUGGUCUCCCGUGUCCGGAGCUGCGUCCUUCCUUGCGCUCCACGAAGGUGCCUAAAGCGGCGCCGCGCGUUCAUGAAGAAGUUGCUGACGGUGUUGAGCUCCAAGCCGAGCUGCUGCGAGAUGGUGACCUGCAUCUCCUUGGACGGCCGCUUGUUCUCCUUGAAGAUGGCGAUCAGCGUGCGUCGCUGCAGGCUGAGACCACCCAGACUUGGCCUCCCUCGAGCACCCAGUGGACCCUCUGGAGCGCAGAACAUCUAAGAAAGAAGACUUUGGAGGAGGAGGGGAGAGUGCAGGGACCACCUCUUCCUCUCCCAGAUGAGCAGGUCACCCUUCCUCUUGGUCAGCCCGCACAGAUCACGGAGAGGGCUGAAGGAGGCUGCCCCAUGGCCUGCAGACCAGACACUUGCAAAGGGGAGAAAAGCAAAGGCUCGGGGUGAUGGGGCAGGGCUGAAGCCGAGUCCUGCUCUUCCUGCUCCAGCAGCGAAGUGAACCCCUCCCCUCAAUGCAGUGGGUGUCAGUGGGUACAAAACACAGGCUUCCCCCACUAGGAGCUGGGCCACAAGUCAGAUGGGCUCAUUUGUGGCAUCAGCUUGAAACUCCAUCAGAAUCUCAAUUUCUCUCCUGCAUCCAGACUGGGACUGUGGUGCUGAAGAGGCUGUCCUGCCCUUGUCUCCAUCCCGGAGUUCCAGCUACUCUGUGACCCCCAGAAGUGGCCGGUGGUGCAGGUAGUACUAGUGGGUCUCUGCUCCCAGUCUCUUCUCUGUGCCAGCCGUCGUGGCCUACUGGAAUGGCACAGAGAGCUUUUCUUUUCGUUGCAGAACAGCCUGGAACAUGACAUGCUAGAUCAAUGUCCAUACACGUCCACAGAAAUAAAUGAAUGUUCCUUCUGCCAUGACUCAUGUCUCGGGGACAACAGCAAAAAGAGGCUCUGCUGCCCCCCUUCCCGGCGUUCAAUCUAAUUACAGCUCCUCACAGCCCAGAUCGAUCCAGUCGGAGCUGUUUACCGCGAGCAGCUUUGUCAUUGCUCCCAUCCCCCACAGCCGCUGACAGAGCCAGCCCUGCACCUCCUCCAGGACCCUGGGGACUGAGGCCCUGAUUCCAGGAGCAAUCACCCCCGAGAGGCUCUGAUCUGAGGACUCCAGGUUCCUGGUUUAUCAAGUGGACGCAGUGACCCAGAGCCCUGUGUCCCCACCGGGCCGCAGUCCCGAGAGUCACGAAGGAAUGAACGCCGAAGCACGGACCUGCAACCGACUCAUCCAUUCACCAUUCAGGGAGCAGCUGCUGCGUGAGGCCAGAGAGAGGCAGCUCCAGGAGCUGGCCUCCACUCACAGUCACAGGACAGCGUGAAGCGGCGGCUGCCUGGGACUCUGUUCCCCAAUGAGGAGGCCAGCUCCGCUCUGAGUCCAGGAAAGGGGGAGAGAGGACGCCUUUGGGUGGGUACUGGAGGGGAGGCGCGGGCUCCACUGGGCUCUCUGAGGCCUUCGAGUGGAUACACUGCUGGCUGGGAGGGAGGAUGGACCAGAAGACCAGGCCCAGGCUUCGGGACAGCUGGAGGGAAGGUCCCUGAAUCCCAGUGGACGCCAGCAGUGCUGGGGGCGGCACGGCAGGAGAGACACAAGCCAGGGUGGCACCAGGACGGGAGGGAUGUGGAGGCUCCUGGGGGGUCCCCAAGGUCCAGGGAGGAGAUCAAAGAGCAACUAGAGGAGAUGGAGACCAGCUGGGCAAUGCCCAAGGGAGAAGAAGACGCCCCAGGAUGCAGCAAUGGGCGAUUCAAGUGACCAUCCCAUGUCCCUCUGUGCCCGACAGUCUGUACAGUGCCCCAAACCACCAAGCCACGUGAGUCUACCCCGCUGUGUGCCCGUCCUCCCUGUGUCCUGGAGCUGGAGAUCCCCUCCCUCAGCCACCUCUGGCUUCAGGGAGCAGACAAUUCAAUAUGGAGCCCGGUCUCCGGCUGGGAUGAUGACCGGUUUCCUUGGCGACGCGUCCUGUCCCCGCCACCAGCUGCCCUGCCCCAGAUGUGGGUUGUACUGAUGCCCCCCACCCCCAUGCUGGUGUCUUGUCCCC
rnacentral:lncRNA from 1 species